rnacentral:rRNA from 1 species
GGAAUCUUCGGCAAUGGACGAAAGUCUGACCGAGCAACGCCGCGUGAGUGAAGAAGGUUUUCGGGAUCGUAAAACUCUGUUGGUAGAGAAGAACGUUGGUGAGAGUGGAAAGCUCAUCAAGUGACGGUAACUACCCAGAAAGGGACGGCUAACUACGUGCCAG